UCCGGUCGUUCGUUUCCGGCUACACACCACCCCCCUUUUCUCACUGAUAAACAACGGCAUCAGCACCACCAGUGGUGGCGGUGCUCAGUGGUGGCGGAGGAUCGAGAGGAAGAGAGAGAGAGAGAGAGCAGACGACGGAGACAUCAGACGGUGGCGCGACCACUGUAGCGGCGGUGACAGUAGCGCGACCACUGUAGCGGCGGAGUGGGUUCAGCUCCGAGUUGUUUUCAUCUCAGACCCGAUACAAUGGUGGUGUUAGCUCGGGUUGGUAACGGGACUGGUUCUGUUUAGAUUCAUGGCUCGGGUCUCGACAUCAGUUGGUUCAAGUUUCAGUUUUGUUCAUUCCGGUUCGGGUUCGUCUAGAAUCGAUUUUGCUUCAGUUCGUUCGGGUUCACGACACGAGAUAACUCGGUUCAGUUUGGAGCGCGACUCGGUUCAUUCAUUUCAGUUCCAGUUUGGUGUUUCGGUCAAACAGUCAACAUCGGUCAAAACAGUCAACUGUCGAGUCAAACGGUCAAACUCGGGUCAGCUUUAAUGCAAAAUGUGGGCGACCUCGGUGUUCCAUCCCCCAAAACUCGUACACUCGUCAAUACUUGGAUAAUCGGAAGA